rnacentral:rRNA from 1 species
CCUACGGGCGGCUGCAGUGGGGAAUAUUGGACAAUGGGGGGAACCCUGAUCCAGCCAUGCCGCGUGUGUGAAGAAGGCCCUCGGGUUGUAAAGCACUUUCAGUGAGGAAGAACGCCUGGUGGUUAAUACCCAUCAGGAAAGACAUCACUCACAGAAGAAGCACCGGCUAACUCCGUGCCAGCAGCCGCGGUAAUACGGAGGGUGCGAGCGUUAAUCGGAAUUACUGGGCGUAAAGCGCGCGUAGGUGGCUUGAUAAGCCGGUUGUGAAAGCCCCGGGCUCAACCUGGGAACGGCAUCCGGAACUGUCAAGCUAGAGUACAGGAGAGGAAGGUAGAAUUCCCGGUGUAGCGGUGAAAUGCGUAGAGAUCGGGAGGAAUACCAGUGGCGAAGGCGGCCUUCUGGACUGACACUGACACUGAGGUGCGAAAGCGUGGGUAGCAAACAGGAUUAGAUACCCCAGUAGUC